rnacentral:rRNA from 1 species
UACAGAGGUCCCGAGCGUUGUUCGGAUUCACUGGGCGUAAAGGGUGCGUAAGUGGCAUGGUAAGUUUGAUGUGAAAGCUCAGGGCUUAACCCUGAAAUGGCAUUGAAUACUACUGUGCUGGAGGUUUGGAGGGGGGACUGGAAUUCUUGGUGUAGCAGUGAAAUGCGUAGAUAUCAAGAGGAACACCAGUGGCGAAGGCGAGUCCCUGGACAACACCUGACACUGAGGCACGAAAGCUAGGGGAGCAAACAGG